rnacentral:lncRNA from 1 species
UUUAUUUAGCAAAGUUAAACAUACAUAUAUUUUGAAAGAGAAAAAGGAACUCACCCAACCCUCAUAUUCAAGAGCUUAAAAUCAAAGGAACUCAAGACCCAUCCUCAACUUCAAAUGCCAGUCAUUAUUUUAGAGGUAACUCAGAUUUCUAAGUAAUGCUUCUGUUUCUCGAUUUAUCAAAUACACAUUAUGUAUUUUGUUUUCCUACAUGAGAAUUGAGUAGUUAAUAGAAUACCCAUCUCUUAUCAGUAACAAAGAUUUACAAAAUAACUUUUGUUUUUCAUAAUUACAAAAGCAAUACAUUAUCAUUGCAGAACAUGUUUUUUUUAAAAAAAAAGACAAAAAGUAACAAAACUCUCCAUUAUCCCAAUAGGCAGAGGAAGUUAUUACCAUUUUAAUGCAUAUCCUUAACAUAUACAUGUAAAAGGUACAUAUACACAUAAAAAUAUGUUUAACAGAAAUUACUUUGUACACAAUAUUUGAUUGAACUAUAUAUGAUCUGUCUUUCAUUUUCAUUUUAUUGUAGUAUAAUUUACAUAAAAUGCAUAAAUCUUAAACCUAUAAAUUUUUACAUUAUAUAGAAAUGUAUAGUUAUAUACUCCAUGCUCCCUCCCAAUCAAUGCUGCCUCAAAACGAACUGCUCUUCUAAUUUUAGAGCUUAACUCUUCUCAUCUCUAUCACCACAGAUUAGUUGUAUUUUUAAGCUUCAUGUAAAAUUUUCCAUGUCAACUUUGGAAACAUGACAGUUAAAGUUCUAAGGAAUCUCCAGUUCUCCAACUGGUGUGGGAAUAAGAUAAUUUGACUCCACUGUGAAUUGUGGUUACUGAUGGUAUCACUGAGUCUGUUACGGGCCAACGAGAAACAGUCUGAAGGGCCAAGAAUUUAUGGCCCUGUAGGGAUUGCAGAAAGAAACCAAACCCAAGUUCACAAUUCAGCCUGGAAGGAGAAAGUUCUAUCACUCAGUAUCUCAAGACUAAGCGGAUCAUAAAUGGUGUCACAAGUUUGCAGUUUUUUCCCUGUGGAAGAUAAUAAUCUUUUGUAUGCUUAAUUCGUUAUCAUCGCCUUAUAAAUUAUCACCAGCACAGAUAACUACCACGGUCAUCGGUCCCCAAACCAGCUGUCCAUGAGCAAUGACGAAUUAAAACGGGGGUGGGGGAGAAGGGGUGUAGGGCCCAAGAGUUGGGGAGCAUUAUGGCUUGCUGUCAAGUGGCAGCCUAAGAUGUACUUGGGAAGAUGUUUCAUAUCCAUUUUCCCUGUGAAAUUAAAAUUGUGAUGCUACCAAACCUUUGCUUGUCCACCAUCCUUAAGAGAAUACUCAUUCAGUACAAAACCUUGCAAAAAGGAAUGAGCCAAUUUGAAUAAAAGCGAAAACUUCUUAGGAAUUAGCAGCCCGAAAGGCUGCUUGAGAGAUGGCAAACAUAUUGAGGAGUUCUCAAACAGCUGCUCUCUGAUUACAGGUGGGAAAAGGCCAUUCCCAUGCCUUCUCCCACGGGCACAGAGAAUCAAAGGCACUUUCCAUAUUUAACACGACUAAUAUGUCAUUGGCCAAAGAGAUACUCAAUACAUCUCCAUAGCUUUUCCUUACUUUUACUUAACCUUUAUGUCGGAUACUUAAUGCCUAGUACUGUUCUAAGCGCUUUGCAUGCAUCAUCUCAUCAACCUAAUAAAGCAGCUCGGAUAGAUUAACUUUUAAAAUCUGGAUACAGCUGGGUAAGGUGGCAGAAAAGUUGGAAUUCAAAUAAAAGCCAGUCCUACAGCAGGGCCAUUAUUGCCUCCCCUAGCUUGAUCACGAAAAAUGAGUGGUUCUUCCCUCUGGGCACACAGGACAAUGGACAUGCGGGCUGCUGUCAGGAUUUACCGAAGAUGGCCGCUGCGCUGGGCUUGGAGUGUGAGCUGACGGUGUCCCAGGCAAAAAAGUCGAGAGUGGCAGCCGACUGCUUUUUUGGAGGCCAAGAGAGGAGAAAAGGGUUAAACGGAAACGGGCAGUCAAGAGCAAGGGCAAGAAUAGGAGAAAAGGAAAGCCCCGACUCCCCUAGCCGCAGAAAGCGCUGGGCGGAAGUGAGCUGGCCUAGAAAGCGCCCUGCGUGGAGGUAGGCCCGCGCGGCGGAAGUGCGUUUCUGAGGCUCCUCCUGUAGGCUGCGGAGGAGGGACUGAGCUUGCGCGCGGGCCAGCUGUCCUCUCUUCUGAUCCCGAAGACAGGAUCGGAUUAUGGUUUGUUGCCGGUUAGCGCGGCCCUGGGGGUUUCCGGUCCCUGGAGACGAGUCGCACCCCUGCAGUUUACUGGGCGCUCUUCUGUAACCCGCUUUCCGACCCCGCCCAGAGUUAUUAAGACCCGGGCAGAUAAGGCCCCUCUGUCCCUCCUAGCCGCCGUCUCUCCUAGGCUGGAGGGCGGCGCCCCAUAUGACGCAGAAGGCGGCUAGGGAUACGC